GACGAACGCUGGCGGCGUGCUUAACACAUGCAAGUCGAACGGAAAGGCCCGGCUUUUGUGGGGUGCUCGAGUGGCGAACGGGGGAGUAACACGUGAGUAACCUGCCCUUGACUUUGGGAUAACUUCAGGAAACUGGGGCUAAUACCGGAUAGGAGCUCCUGCUGCAUGGUGGGGGUUGGAAAGUUUCGGCGGUUGGGGAUGGACUCGCGGCUUAUCAGCUUGUUGGUGGGGUAGUGGCUUACCAAGGCCUUGACGGGUAGCCUACCUGAGCGGAUGACCGGCCACGUUGGGCCUGGGAUGCGACACAGCCUCCUCUCGGAGGCAGGGGAGGGGUAUGUUGCACUGUGGGAGGAGCCCAGACGCGGCAACGCCGCGUGCGGGAAGUCGGCCAUCGGGUUGUAAACCGCUUUCGCCUGUGACGAAACGUGAGUGACGGUAAUGGGUAAAUAAGCACCGGCUAACUACGUG
rnacentral:rRNA from 1 species